rnacentral:rRNA from 1 species
GACGAAGGAUGCAAGCGUUAUCCGGAUUCAUUGGGUUUAAAGGGAGCGUAGGUGGCUUUGUAAGUCAGUGGUGAAAUCUUCUCGCUUAACGAGAAAACUGCCAUUGAUACUGCUGAGCUUGAGUACAGAUGCCGUUGGCGGAAUAUGACAUGUAGUGGUGAAAUACAUAGAGAUGUCAUAGAACACCGAUUGCGAAGGCAGCUAACGAAACUGUAACUGACACUGAGGCUCGAAAGUGCGGGGAUCAAACAGG